GUGUCAGCAGCCGCGGUAAUACGUAGGGGGCAAGCGUUGUCCGGAUUUACUGGGUGUAAAGGGCGCGCAGGUGGGCUUGAUAGUUAGAGGUGAAAUCCUGUGGCUUAACUGCAGAACUGCCUUUAAUACUUCAAGUCUUGAGUGCGGAAGAGAGAGACGGAAUUCCAGGUGUAGUAGUGAAAUACGUAGAUAUCUGGAAGAACACCAGUUGCGAAGGCGGUCUCUUGGUCCGUAACUGACACUUAGGCGCGAAAGCGUGGGGAGCAAACAGGAUUAGAUACCCCGGUAGUCC
rnacentral:rRNA from 1 species